rnacentral:rRNA from 1 species
UUUAACUGAAGAGUUUGAUCAUGGCUCAGAUUGAACGCUGGCGGCAGGCUUAACACAUGCAAGUCGAGCGGGGGAAGGUAGCUUGCUACUGGACCUAGCGGCGGACGGGUGAGUAAUGCUUAGGAAUCUGCCUAUUAGUGGGGGACAACAUCUCGAAAGGGAUGCUAAUACCGCAUACGUCCUACGGGAGAAA